CUAGCCAACACAAUGCAAUGUGUCUUGUCUGUGUGUGUCUCUAGCUAACCAACACAUCUAUGAUUAUUCUUAAUACUCAGUCAAAAACACUAGACACAUGUUUUAGUAUAAAUAAUGUAUUCAUAUUAUUGUUCGGAAAAUGACAUUCUUGUAUCUGUCAUUUAGAAGUUGACAUUAUUGCAUCGGUCAUAUUUAUUUGUUAUUGUGUAGCCUGCCUGUACUCAUAAUCCCAUUUUUAGAAACAUAUGUUGUACUCCCCCCCCCCUUUUCCAAAGGUUGUGUAGAAAUGAUUGCUAGGCUGUGCCCAGUAGUUCCUCUAGAAUACAAUGCUGUCUAGCACUGUUACACUCAUGUCUAGAUAAUAGCUACAUGGGAUGGGUUUCACUAUAAGUUGGUUUGUUAUUGCUAGGCUGUGCCCAGUAGUUCCUCUAGAAUACACUGCUGUCUAGCACUGUUACACUCAUGUCUAGAUAAUAGCUACAUGGGAUGGGUUUCACUAUAAGUUGGGAACAGUUCCAGGAAAAAGAAGGAGAGGCAGAUAAAAGAUGCAAUGGGGGACAACAUUAUGAACUGUACAGCCCUGUCUAUGGAAAAGCUGCUUAUUCUGGCAAAAGAAAGUAAUGGAGAGAAUUGACCAACAGUUCAUGGAUGCCCUAAAAAGACUGAAGGAUUACUGAAGACAUGCCUACCCCCAAGACCCAGAAUGUGGAACACUCAGGUUGAAAAUGUGAAAUUUUGGGCCCCAAUGUGGAACAUACACGCGGUUACGUUUGUCAGCCAUACUGUACGCAAUAAAGAAAAAGUCUUGAUUUUUGUGA